UUUAAAAGGCCGGUGCUUGCCGGCAAUAAACGUCGCCUUGAUCAGACUCUUGUCUUGGCGUCCUUCCUUUCUCUCUACCCCAUCUCCACCCCGCUGCUCUUUCAGGUUUGAGACACUGCUGGACAGUGCUCUGCGUCGCCGGCUCGCGACAGUCAGGUUUAGGACCUGCUGGCAGGAUCCUGACGUUGCAGCUCGCGACAAGUGGCGCCCGACCAGGGACCUGAAAGUUGAUGAGGAUACGUAAUCCCGGACCCAGGUCGAAGGCAGGGACGGUGCUCCGGAGGACUGACCGCUGCGCCUGAUCCUUGCAGUAAGUCUACCAUUCACUUCGUGAAGAAAAAGUGAAAAGAAAGUAAGAAGAAAUGAAAAGAAGGUAAGAAAAAGUGAAAAGAAAGUAAGAAAAAGUGAAAAGAAGGUAGAGAGUGUCAAGUCCAUUGGGAAG
rnacentral:lncRNA from 1 species